rnacentral:rRNA from 1 species
UACGGAGGGGACUAGCGUUGUUCGGAAUUACUGGGCGUAAAGCGCACGUAGGCGGAUUUGUAAGUCAGGGGUGAAAUCCCGGGGCUCAACCUCGGAACUGCCUUUGAUACUGCAAAUCUCGAGUCCGGAAGAGGUGAGUGGAAUUCCUAGUGUAGAGGUGAAAUUCGUAGAUAUUAGGAGGAACACCGGUGGCGAAGGCGGAUCUCUGGGCCAUUACUGACGCUGAGGAGCGAAAGCGUGGGGAGCGAACAGG